AGGGUUUGAUCCUGGGCUCAGGACGAACGCUGGCGGCGUGCCUAAUACAUGCAAGUCGAGCGAAUGGAUGGGAGCUUGCUCCCUGACAUUAGCGGCGGACGGGUGAGUAACACGUGGGCAACCUGCCUGUAAGACUGGGAUAACUUCGGGAAACCGGAGCUAAUACCGGAUACGUUCUUUUCUCGCAUGAGAGAAGAUGGAAAGACGGUUUCGGCUGUCACUUACAGAUGGGCCCGCGGCGCAUUAGCUAGUUGGUGAGGUAACGGCUCACCAAGGCCACGAUGCGUAGCCGACCUGAGAGGGUGAUCGGCCACACUGGGACUGAGACACGGCCCAGACUCCUACGGGAGGCAGCAGUAGGGAAUCUUCCGCAAUGGACGAAAGUCUGACGGAGCAACGCCGCGUGAGCGAAGAAGGCCUUCGGGUCGUAAAGCUCUGUUGUUAGGGAAGAACAAGUACCAGAGUAACUGCUGGUACCUUGACGGUACCUAACCAGAAAGCCACGGCUAACUACGUGCCAGCAGCCGCGGUAAUACGUAGGUGGCAAGCGUUGUCCGGAAUUAUUGGGCGUAAAGCGCGCGCAGGUGGUUCUUUAAGUCUGAUGUGAAAGCCCACGGCUCAACCGUGGGAGGGUCAUUGGAAACUGGGGAACUUGAGUGCAGAAGAGGAAAGUGGAAUUCCACGUGUAGCGGUGAAAUGCGUAGAGAUGUGGAGGAACACCAGUGGCGAAGGCGACUUUCUGGUCUGUACUGACACUGAGGCGCGAAAG
rnacentral:rRNA from 1 species